rnacentral:rRNA from 1 species
UGGGGAAUUUUGGACAAUGGGCGAAAGCCUGAUCCAGCAAUGCCGCGUGUGUGAAGAAGGCCUUCGGGUUGUAAAGCACUUUUGUCCGGAAAGAAAUCCUUGGCUCUAAUACAGUCGGGGGAUGACGGUACCGGAAGAAUAAGCACCGGCUAACUACGUGCCAGCAGCCGCGGUAAUACGUAGGGUGCAAGCGUUAAUCGGAAUUACUGGGCGUAAAGCGUGCGCAGGCGGUUUGCUAAGACCGAUGUGAAAAUCCCCGGGCUCAACCUGGGAACUGCAUUGGUGACUGGCAGGCUAGAGUAUGGCAGAGGGGGGUAGAAUUCCACGUGUAGCAGUGAAAUGCGUAGAGAUGUGGAGGAAUACCGAUGGCGAAGGCAGCCCCCUGGGCCAAAUACUGACGCUCAUGCACGAAAGCGUGGGGAGCAAAACAGGAUUAGAUACCCUGGUAGUCCACGCCCUAAAACGAUGUCAACUAGUUGUUGGGGAUUCAUUUCCUUAGUAACGUAGCUAAACGCGUGAAGUUGACCGCCUGGGGAGUACGGUCGCAAAGAUUAAAAACUCAAAUGAAUUGACGGGGUCAUAGCUGUUUCCU